UACUGUCUCCUCCGGGUCCGUUUUUAACGCCCAGUCCGUCGCCAUCAAUAUCAGCUAGUCCACGUUUGCAACCGUCACCCUCUCUGUCACCAUUUCCGCAGGAUGUGUUACUCGUAGCUGGUAAUACAAUCACAAACGCCACACACGAUCAGGACCGUAAAGCUGCCACACCAGGACGUAGACAAUCGUUACAUCAAUUCACUAAUGGCAGUCCGAACGCCGGUACCGUUGUAUUCCAACCAAGUCCAUCGCAGUCACCAGCGGCAGCAACCAGUGUUAUCGGUGUGACAGCCGGAGUGGGAGGUGCGGCGAUAGUGGCAACCACACCUGCAGCCGGUAAUGAGUUCAACACAACACUUGUUGGAUCCAAUAAUAUACAAUUAAAUAAGAAGGGCAAUAAGCGCAACACUCAGCAACAACAACAACAAAAUCAACUUGCUCAACAACAUCACCAAAUAUUCAGCAGUGCUGUUGCACCGUCAACUUGUCACACUGCGUCCUCGAUCUCUAAUACUGUAGCCGGCGGCUAUGGGCAACCACAUGCAGCAGCGAUCAAUACGUCGAGUUCGUUUGCGGCAGCAAAUGUGGCUGGUUGCCCAAAAGGUCAAGCGAAAAAAGCCGCCGCAACAGUACUACCGACGUCGACGUCGUUGAGUCACCAACAACAGCAACAGCAGCAGCAGCAGCAACAACAGUUCCAACACUAUCACAGCAGUAGUCCGCUGAUAGCUGACAGUCCAAUACCGAGUCCUAGCAAUACAAUUACCGCCGCCACAAUUAAACCGUCAACACCACAACCAAUGCAAAUGUUGCAGCAACAAUUUACGAUAACAGGCAGUGCGCCGCAUCAAGGGAAUCAAGCGCAGCACACGCAACAGGUCUUUCAAAUUAUCCAGGGGCCGCAGGGGCAAAUUGUUGCGGCACCAGCUGGGCAGCAACAUUCCCUGCAGCAACGUCUAAUAGGCAGCACCGCAACAGUUCAAACACAUCUGGCGCCUACGUCGUACAGUAGUCUUAACAGUACAACAACGAAUACAACAACAAAGUCAACUAAACCGCCGCAACAAAUACUGCCAAAGCCACAACACCAGUCCUGCAACGAUGCCAGUCAACAGCAACAAUCGCUGCAGCAACAUCAGAAAACUAAAGUCGGUGGUGGUAAUGCGGCAACCGCCACUGUACAUAGCAACACUAGUAAUAUGGCGCAAAUGCCACAGAUCUCGCAAUCACCGCAGCCGCAACAGGCACAGAUCAGUGUCUCGGCUGCGCCCACCUCAGGUGCCGCCGCGCAGCAACAACAGAUAAUUCUGCCAACAGGCGCCACAGCCAGCUUAACAACGCAACAACCUUUGUUGCUCAAUCAAAUGCCACUUCUGGUGCAACAGAAUACGCCACAAGGCGUGCAGCUAAUACUGCGGCCACCUACACCCCAGCUAACGGCGACACCAUCAUUGGUGAUCCAAAAUGCGCGUCCACAAGCGCAACUGCAACAACAACAGCCACAACAAUUGCUGCGUAUACUGGGCACAAAUGGUGCAACCAUGCAACUGGCCGCCGCCACUCCCACCUUUAUAGUAUCUUCACAGGCUAACCUCAUACAACAGACUGCAAAUCAUAUACAAACUAUUAAAACGAACCCCCAAAAUUCGGCCAUAACGCAGCUGACCGGCUUGCACGCUGCGCUUUCGGCGUCAAAUCAGCAACGAUCUCAUCAGCCGUUCACCACAACGGCAACCAUAAACACCAGUCACUUGCUAGGGCCGAGCGUAGCCGCACAGCUGCAAAAUCUGCAUUUGGCUGCCGCGGCGGCAAAUGGUGGCAGCAUUACACAAAUUCAAAUGCCUAACGGCCCAUCGCCAGCAACGGCAACAAUACUCUCACAGUUACCGGCGCAGUUUCAGCAAAGCCUGAACAAUGCCGCAACUGGUGGUGGGUCACUCAUCAACUUAAAUCAAUUAAGCGGAGCGAAUAUUCAACAGUUGGCAGCGGCAGCUGCGGCAGCGGGCGCGACUUUUCAAACUCCACCACCACCGCCCACAAGUUCCAGCGCAAAUGUGGAUCUUUACAAUGCUCAGCACACGACGCUACCUAGUUUGACGCAUACGUCACAAGCAUCGGAACCAAUGCGCCAACCUACACCCACGUUGUUGCAGAAUGCGGGCGGUGCCACUGUAACCAUAAAUCAACAGCAACUAACCAAUGGGCACCAGGCAACUUCCUUAAUGAGCGCUGGUGCUGCUAACAGUGGUGCAUCAAAUGCCACAAUACAAAUCCAGCAACAGCAGCAGUCCGCACAGUCGCAGCCUGAACCGAAAAAGAAAGCAAAGCCCCGAAAAAAGAAACAACCCACUGCCAGCAUAGCGGCAUCAUCGGCUGCAGCUUCGGUGCAGUCACCUGCAAUAACGACAACGGCACCUUCACCCUCGCCUACGUCGCAAACAAAGAAUGCCCCAUAUGCUGUAUCCUCAAGUGCGCCCAAUGCAAUAGCCCACAAAUUCAACACACCCGUCAGCAUGAGUAACACCACGGGCGUUAUGCCACAGCUCCAAUUCUCGCAAUCGUCUCCGCAAAACGUAAAAUUGGCAUUUACAAAUAGCAGCAGCGGCAACACUGCACAGAGUCAAACAAAUCAACCACAGCAACAACAGGAGCAAGCACGCCCAAAACUUGAUCUCGGCAAUGUUAUGAAGUUAUGCGGCAUAAUGGAGGAUGAUGAUGAUGAUGAAGAUUACAUGGACGCAAUGUCAACACAUGAUGAGAACACUUCAACUCCAGCGUCUAACGUGCCACAACCACCGCCACAACAAUCACACGCAGCGCCAACAUCAUCGCUCUCUUCCACAACUGGUCCGGCACCACCAAACGCCAAUGAUAUAAUGAUCUCUAUACCCAGUCAAAACGGCUCCGAUUCCAUGCCCUUUACUGUCACAAUACCCGCGGCAGCAGCAUUGAGUGCUGCAGCGACGUCCAACAAUAGUGGUAAUGAUACGACUGAACCUCACAAUAUCUUUAUCAAAAUCGACCAAAAUGACACAGCUUCUACGCCCUACACGAUCUCCAUACCACGUCUGCCGACUGCUGAGGAAAUACAACAGCAGGCGCAACAGCAUUUGGCACAGCAAGCAGCGGCUGCAGCAGCAGCAGCCGCCGCCGCAGCGGCAACACAACAAUCCAAUAAUAAGACAGCGCCAUCCACAAUGAGUUUCAGCAUGCCCGCAGGCAAUAGUUCACAAUUCCAGUCCAUGCAGCAGUCCCAAUCGCAGCCGCAGUCGCAGCUGUUUAACAUAACAGCCGGUGGCACCUCUCUGCAACUGUCCACGUCCAAUAGCAAUCCCACAAUAGCCAUCACCACACCCGCAACCACAACAACCACAACCACGACAGCAACAGUGAAACCAAGACGCAAGCCGGCAGUGCGUCGCAAUGGCAAAAAACAGGAUAAUAUUACACCUGCCGCGGCACCUGCAAACACUACAAGCAGCGCAGCACCGACCUCAAUUACUACAACCACAACGACUACGAACAGUGUGUCGGUGAUGCCUUCCUUGACAGCCACAAUUACACCUGGCAUAUCAACGGCAUCGGCUGCGUCACUCACAACACCGGUUCAACUGCAGCAGCAAAGCGCUUUAGGUACACCGCUCACACCGGCGCCGGCAACCCUACCGGCACAAUCUGCUGCGCCUACAUUGACCGCAACGGUGGCGGGUGCACCGCAAGUUCCUAGCCAAAUUGGCAAUAUACAAAUAUCGCAAGUAGAUGGAACGAAAAUGCUACCAAAUCAUAAUGGAGGUGGCACCGUAGAGAACAAAAUACAAAUUAUGCCAAUUUUGGAUGGUAUGGCUGCUUCGGGUGGAGGGCCCCAUAUUAAGAUAACAACGCAGCCGCCGGUUUCGCCAUACCAAACGCAGUCGCAUCAGCAGCAGCAGCAGCAACAACAACAACAACAACAACAGCCACAGCCACAGCAUCAUCAUCAACAGCAGCAGCAAAUUUUAUUUCAACCACCACAUUCUCAGGCAAACGUACAAACACACGAAGCUCCCGCCGUUACUAUAAAACCAACUUCGGACGGCCGUCAAGUGCAACUAGUAGCCAUACCACAAACGUCAGGUCCCACCGCGGUGGCGGCUUCAUCGAAUCAAACACCAACAGUACAACAACAACCCACCAACUCAAUGGCUCCAAACAACAGCAGCAACAGUAGUGGCAACAGUAAUAAUAAUAGCAUGUCAGCGUCGACAACUGCCACUAUACUAUCACCACAGCUGACCGGUAUGCCCAGCAGCGUAUCAAUAUCGGUAGGCUCGCCAGCAUCAGCAGCUGCACUUAUUCCACAACUUACCGGUAAUCUGACCUUGGCCGUUUCUGAGCACUGCGAGCGUCUGAUAUUGCGGCACGACCCCAAUCAGCCGCCGGACAAACAAUCGCAGAUAAUUCUGCAUGCUCUACUUAAAGGUGCUUUGCCAAAUUUGGCAAUAAUCAAUGAGCCAACCAAAUUGGAUAGCAGUAAUAAUAGCAGUAACGGUAUCAGCAGUCAACUCAACAGCCGAACGAAUUUGGGUGCUUUGAGUGCAACAGUACCACAAUUGCUGCCUCCGGCUUCAGUGAAUAGUGCUUUACAAUCGCAGCAAGCUAAAUCUGUUAUUGGGUCUAGCACGGGCGCUAUAAGUAAACUCACGCUGCCAUCGCAUGUAGCGGCGGCCAUAGCAACAAAAACGUCUACAAUACAGUUGCAAUUCAAUCCUGCGCAAUCAGCCGCGUCAAGCGGCGCAUCUGCAUCUGCAGGGACAAUGGGCUCAACCCUACAAUUACAAUUGCCGCAGCAGUCACCACAACAGCUGAUGGCGCAACAGCAGACGCAGCAACAAAAGGCCCUACAACAGCAACAACAACAACAAGUCACAGCCAAUUCUGCCAGAACGCCGGAAAUUGCACAGCAGCAGCAACAACAACAACAAAUGCAGCAUCAGCAGCAACAACCAAUGUUGCCACAGGUGAACCAAGCGCUGCCACCGCCGCAAAUCAAUGCGCUACUUGGUGCUGCCCCAUUGACCGCGCAAAGCCAACAACGUUACGUAUCUUUGCCGAAAAUAAAUGCAUCAUCACAGCAAAUAUUUUCUCUAAACAGCGAAACGAAUCAUAUCACUCCUAUUAGUCCAACACAGACUGCCGCAUCCAUUGGCCCCACCGAACGUUUGCUUAUUGCGCCAGCCGGCAUCAAUGCUCAGCAAUUAGCGCAAUGUCUGCAGCUGGGUCAAAUACAUUUCAACGAUGUAAAUCCGUUGCCACCAAGCACGCAGCCGCAACCCACCCUAAUGGGCAUGAAUCCGACGCUGAGCUCCAACCAGCAUGCAGCGCAGCAACAGCAGCAACGCUUACAGCCACCGCAGCAACAAAUUGUGCAUCCGCAACCCAUCCAGCCACUAAGUAGUGCAACCAGUGGCGUUAACAACAACUGCGCUAGUGCCGUACCGAACGUCAUUACUAAGCAGGUGGCCAAUGUGGCACCUAUUAUUGAUCAGAGUAAAGCCAAGUUGGAGCCGGCCAAAGCUGCCGCGCCCACUGGCGCAGUUCCCAAAAAGAAGCCAGUGCGUAAACCGAAGGCUACAACAACAGCUGCCGAUGUGGCUAGCGGCACAGCAGGCAUAAAGAAUGCGAGCGUCGUCAAGCCGAUGCCUAAAUUAGAUCCACUGUCACAGAAGCUGAACAAUAGUCCUGUGCUGGCUGUGCAGCCGAAUGUUGCUAGUGGCAAGCAAGUUGGUGCUGCGAGUGCGGCUAGCAGCCUAACAACAACAACAACUCAUAACAGCAAACAACCAUUUCAACAGCCGAACAAGUUGGUGGCCGUAACGGCACCCUUGCAACUACAGCAACAGGUGCACCCACAGCAACAAUCGCAGUCAACGAGCAGCGCGCCUAUGAUGCAGCAGUCGCCAAAUAUGCGCAGCAUUGUUAGCAGCGCGAAUAUUACAGGCAGCUCAAUUACAACAACCAGCAGCAGCAGUCUCAUCAGUCCCACCACCACCAACAGCAGCAUGGCAUUGACGUCUUCGUCAACACUUGUGGCGCCCAGUUUUAGCAGCAACAAUGAGCCACCCUCCCUUUCGGCGCUAAAUCCAGCAAGCAACGUGAACGCUUCACAACAACAGCCACAUCCAUCGUCGCAAGCACAACACCAACAACAGCAGCCUCAUCAGCAGCACACCGUGUCACGUGUACAAACAAUUCAACUGACCGCACAGCAGCAGCAAAUGUUCAAACAGGUGCAAAUGCAAAUCCAGUUUUUGACUAUUAAGUUGCAACAUAAAUCAUUGCUGGCGUCGCUGCCACUGCCGCCAGAUUUCGAUCCGGCCGCCAUAACCGCCUAUACCAAACCAAUGAGUGAUGCCGAGAUAAAUAUGGCCUUGCAGCGUCUUUACACGGAGCAGCAGCGCAUCUUGGCUGCCGGCAAAGAGAUGCCUACACCGGAGGCCUAUCUGCAAAUGCCGCCAAUGGGUCAUGGCGCUGGCAUUACGCUGAUGUCGCAGCCGCCACCGAUGCAACAACAGCAACAGCAAGUGGGCAUUGGCAAAGUGAAUGCCUCUGGCAUACCGGCGAAUAUCGUACAGCCUAAUAAUCACUCAUCCAACAUGUCGAUUACGGCAACAUCUAUGGGUGGUGCAAUGGCUGGUCAGCAGACGCAGACGCAAACACAAGCACAGGCAGGAGUUACGCAUCGCAUACAUAUAUAUCCCAUGCAGCAUCAUCAAACAGUUCAACAAAAUAAACAGCAGCAGCAGCAACAACCACAACAGCAGUCCAAAUCGCUGCAAAUAGCACCAGCAUCACGUGGCAAAGACAGCACCAACGCUAGCGGAAAGGGAAAAACUCCAACAUCCGCCCAACUACAAAUAGCGCAGAGCACCAACAGCACGCUGAUGCCCUUAAGCACACCAAAGCAGCAGCCGACACUAGUGGCAACAACCAAAGCGCCAGCAUUACACUACCAGCAGCAGCAGCAACAACAACAACAACAAUUUAUGCUACAAAAGCCGACAUUAGUAAGCAGCAGCAGCAGCAGCAGUACAAACCUCAUGAAUGGACCACCGCCAUUAGUGUUCUCUAGCCCCUUGAUUGCGGCGGCAGCAGCCUCCACAAGCGCGAGCAGCACGUCUUCGGCUACACUUUUUACACCCAGCGCGAAUUGUUUCGUACAACAGCAGCACCAACAGACACUUCAGCAGUUGCAUACGUAUUCCCAAGCGCCUGUUAGCAGCCUGUCUACGAUUACGCCCAGCGCUCCCCCACUCAACUCAGUUGCAACGCUAAGCAGCGCCAACAGCGCCAUGACAAUUGUAACAGCAGCAACAGCAUCAACAUCUAAUGCUAGCAGCGUUGCUUGUACGAGUGUGUCUGCUGACGCAAUGGCAAUGACAACAGUCGCCACUACAACAGCUGCACCCACCUUAGGGACAGCGGUUGCGGCAGUCGCAAGUACGACAACACCAGAUACGCAAGCCAAAUUACAAAUACAGGGAAGUAAUGCAUCGUACGCGUUUAGCACCAGCACAGUCAGCCCCAUCACCACCACGGCUACUCUAAUGUCAUCCACUUCCGUGGGCACUCAUCUCAUCAAAUCCGAAGAGAGUUUGUCCCCCCAGCCGAAACUUGCACGUCUUUCUUUGUUUUUGCGUCAACUGGAAUUGGAUCAGCACGCGUGCUUGAAACCCGACUAUCUCAACCCAUUUCAGGAUAAAGAGGAGGCUGUUAAGCGGCUAAUAAGAUAUCAUUGCAUGUACGAAAGUGUUGAGGAUUUACCAUUUGAAGAUGAAGAGCGCUUUGAGCAGACGGCGGUACAUUGUCAGGAAAAAUACCACAAAAUUUCAACCAAAUACCAAAAGAUAUUGAUGCAGGAGUCAACGCUGGCACAUCGCACAUCGGAAACCUGUCAAAUUCAGCAGCUGAUGAUUGACGAUCUAAGGACUGAAAUUGAGCACCUGCGUAAUGCUGGACGGGAGCAAGCACUGUGCGAACAGCAGCAACAGCAACAACAAGAUCUGAAUGAAGGCGAGCACGUCGAACAAAAGAUGGAACUUUUGCCGCCAACUGUAACGGAAGAAACAAAGCCGGAGUUUAAAGCUGUAAGGGAUGAGCCGGAGAUGGGCGCAAGUAAAACUCUCUUAGACAUCGAUGCCACGCUCAAUACAUGUGAGAUUAAGAUGGAACCGAGCGACAAUACUAUUAGCAAUACUAAUUUUAUUUGCAACACAGGCAAAACAGUAGCACCGCCAUCACCAGUUGUUGACAAGUUCGAUUUGUUGAAGCAUAGCACAAGCACUAGCACACCAAACAACAGCUGCAACAAGCAGCAGCGUACAGCGACGAGCCAACAAGCUCAGCAGCAGCAGAAGCUACAAAACGAGAUGUCGUCAAGGAAAGAAGAAAAAGCUAGUUGGCAUAGUGCAGCUACUGCGGGAGCAGCAUCAUAUACGAAUUUAAAUUUCGAUUCGCUUGAGACGGACGCUGGCAAAAGCAAACUCGGUGCGUCCAAUUUCUACACCACUUGCAACAAGCAGCUGAACGGUAUAACUAAACGGGAUAGUGCACAGUUACCAGCUACGAGUUCCUAUGUCAAGAAGGAGUUUGAGAAUUUCGAUAUUGAAUCUGAAAUAACACCGAGUUUUAUUAUGAAAAAGGUGGAGCAUAAAGAAGUGCUGCCAUCGCCACAGCCAUCGCCAGUGAAUAGCGGCAAAACGCAUAACAAACACCUCAGAGAAAAGAGCGAACGCAGCAAGGCACAUGAGCAGCAGCCACAACCACAACAGCAGCAGCAGAAGGCACCAACAAGUGCACCAGCAAGCAAUAGUUUUGUUGCACAAUAUCUGCAACACAACUCGAAGCAGCAACAGUUGCAGCACCAACAGCAGUUAAAACAGCAGCAACAAGAAGACGAUUGGUUAUGCUUACAGAAAGAGUUAAAUCUGAUACAUACAGAAAAUAAAAUGUCCUUACAGCAACAACAACAGAUAAAUAAUCUGCCGCAGCAACAUCAGUCACAGGCAACGAAAUCGCUUAAUCCCUUCGAGAGCUCACCUAGCAAUGAUAGUGGCAGUAGUAUGGGCACAGUAAGCAGCGCACAAUCUGGACAAUUGAUAGACCUCUUUCCGAAUGGUUGCAUUAGUAAAAACAACCAAUCAAGCCCCAGCAGCAAUGACUCUACUCAGCAUCAGCAGCAGCAGCAGCAACACCAAAACUGCGAUCAAGAUUUGCAGCUUAGUGGCGACCAGCAGCAACAUAACAAUCAUCCAAACCACCAACAACAAGAGCAAAGCACACACAAUCACAUGCAGUCAACACUCAAUGAGUUCUUCGACUCCGGUGACGAUAUGGCAGAUGUGCACAAAUCUGUGGAGACGCGUCUUGAGGCUAUGUUUGGCGAGUCACCUGUUCAUCUGAGUAAGAGUGGGGGCAGUGAUACGCAUGAUAUUGAAGCGGGGUUGGAUGAUAUUUUCGGCGAUGGCAAAUCGAACGAUAAUAACGUGGACACAAAAUCGAAACAAGAGCAACACCUGCAACAGCAACAACGUCUAUGGGAUAGCGAACUUACGGCAGCGAACACUUUUAUGCGUGUCGCAAACACGCAGGAGAGUGUGCUGUUUGAAAAUGAGCAACAACAAAUGCAGCUCAAUCAACAGCACUUGCAACAAAGCUUACAAUUAAACAUUACCAACAAUUCAACACGUUGGAUUCAACACAUCGAUGCACCCUUCAGUGAAUUCAUUGGUAAUACUGGCGGCGAUUGUGGCGAAACGCGUAAAAGACGUUGGAAUGCUGAAUUGAUGUCGCCUGAAGCGGAUGAUACGCUCGAUGGCGCGAAGAAGAUAUGUCCCAUGUCCGGUUCGUCCAGUUCAUCGUCACCAGUGUCAGCACAACAACAACAACAACAACAGCAGCAGCAUCAGCAUCAACAAUCGCAACACCAUCACGAAAGUAUUAUAGAGGCCGAUCUACUCUCAUUGCAUGAUGGGAUACGUGUAGAGCCUGCCGCAACACAAAUGCUACAAAUGUCAGCACAGCAUCAGGCCGUCUUCUGCCAAACGCAGCAGCAAUUUAGUACUUUGUUGGAUGGUGUCGACCACCAUCAACAGCAUUUUGGCAGCGCACAACAUCAGCAGCAGCAACUACUGCAACAAAACAUGCAGCAACAAAAUCUCCACCAUCACCCACUGCAUUCGCAUUUACAGGCGCAUGUGCAUAACAAUCACAUUGGUGGUGGCGAUUUCGAUGACGACAUCAGUCGGCAUGUGCAGAAUGCCAUCGACAGCAUUCUGAAUUUACAAAACAGUGAAUCGGCAGACUCGCUCAACUUCUCGUUAGAUCAUUCGAUGGGCUCACUGCUCGGCGACAGCAUACUUGACGAUCGACAGCAGCAAGCGUCACUCAAUUGCCAAGAUGGCGUAAAACGUAGGCAUCAUCUCGUUGACGAAUUAGGUGAUUGUCUGAUUAGCGGUGGCGGCAGUGGACCAGCGGCGGGCGACAAUGCAAGCCACAUACUUUUGGACAGCAGUCAACAUCACCACGCACAGCAACAGCAACAGGCCCUACUAAAUCACAAUCAUCAUCAGGGAAUGCAACAAAACAAUCAUCACCAACAACCGCCACAACUCAAUCACCAUCAGCAACAGCAGCAGCGAACACAACAGCAGUCGUUGUUGGGCAACGAUUUCAGUUGCGUCGCAGCUGGUCUCGUCGAUGAGGCGGUCAAGUCGAUAAUGACAUCUUGACAACUUACUGCAGCAGACCAGCAACAACAACAAACGCCAGCACCAAAACAACGUGCAGUAACAAGAACUACAACUGCAGCAGCAGCAAUAACAGCAAUCACAGCUAGCAACGGUGCAGGCAACAAUCGAAACAAUAUUGUAAACUCAGGGGUGAUAUUAGAGUUCAACGCCAGCGCUUUAUGAGCUGUGCGUCAUAACAGAAAUGCUUAGAAAGACAUGUGCGGCAUAUAGAAUUAUGAGCAAAGGUAGCGCUUGACUGAGCGAAUGUGUGAAGUAAGUCGCACUAUUUGCAGAGUGAGGAAGUAACCUACCUCUGCACGUGCCGCAUGCAAACAAGAAACGAAAAGAACAAACUCAAGAGAUAUGCACUAAUGAAAUAAUUCAAAAAAGCAAUACAUAUUAAACUGAAUUAAAAGCGAUAUGUAAAUUGUAAAAUGGCACAAAUUUUAUAAAAGAAAAAAAAAAAUUAAGCAAUAAAAACUAAACUUGAAAUAGCUGAAAAACAUACAAUACUGAAGAAUAAAAUUUUUAUUUAUAAUGCAAAGCUCCGCCUCUUAGCAAACACUACUGAAAGCGUUUAGCUUUGAAGCAACCCAAACAACGUCUAGAACAGAGAAGGUGCAACUCAUGCGCGAACGGCGUGCACCAGCUGUAAACCACAAAUGAUUCGAAUAGGAAUCGAAUUGGCGCUAAUUCGUUUUGGCUUUUUUGUACAUUUAGUUGCGCCUUCCCCAUCUCAAGACGUGCUUUGAAAGCAAUCUCAAUUAAAUGUCCUGCUAUAUCAAACGCAUCAUCAAAAAAACGUUGACGAUUGUUUUUUUUUUUUAUUGUUUGAUGAAAUCGCUUCAAAGCUUUUGUGAAAGCUCAGCGCGUAUGACUUUUAGCAAUUCGCAAUUUUAACCGUUUUAGGCUACUACAAACAAACGACAAACGAACUCGUGCAACUGAAUUCUCUAAAUCAAUGAAUGUCUUAAAAUCGCUUUAAGACAAAAUAUUAGCAAAAUUUUAUUUAAAAUACAAAUUAUUACAAAUUUAAAAUUUAAAAACUAUGUAUGUAUGUAAUUAUGUACUUUAAAAAUACAAUGGCCACAAAAUGAUGAAGCAAAUCCCAAGUGGACGGUGGCAAACGAAUUGGUUGUAAACUACGCAAUUAUGUUUAAAAUGUAUGUGGCUUUCGUAAAACAAAUAAUAAUAUUUAUAAAAAACAAGAAAAUACUUAAAUUAAAACAAAUUAAAAUUAGUAGAGCAAGUGAAAUUGAAAUUUACAAAAUUUAAAGCAAAAACAAUUGGAUGCCCCAUAAAAACCAAAUACACAAAUGCAGUUGCAAAAAUGUUGUGCAGUGCAAUUUGCAUGAAAAAUGCUGAGUAAACCCGUUGCCAACUUUGUUAAAAAAAUGUUCAAAGAUUUGCAAUGUAUUAAUGCGAAAACAACAAAAAAAGUAAAAAAAAAAAUGUGAAGGAACUUAGAGCAAAAAGUCAACAAUGCGAAUUCAAAGCCAACGACGAAAGCAAACCGUUUAAUUUCGUCAUUUUUUGUACAUAAAAACUAAGUGAAAUUGUUAGUGAAAAUUGUAAGAUAGCAACAACAUGCAAAAUCUAGAUGUGAGUUCUUUUCCUUUCUACAAUUUAUAAUAAUAAUAAUCAGUGUUUGUAUGUGUAUUAAAAACUUCACCAAACUAAAAAAAAUUACAAAAAAAAAAAAUGAUAAUAAACUUUGUAUAUAAAAGAGAUACAAGACAGCGCCAGUAUUGAUGACCGUUGGACACAGUAUUUAGUUAUAACGGAUGUUUUCAGACGUAUAGAACUUUCAAUAUCGAUAUAUUUUUUCAAAUUUCUAAAUUUUUGUUCAAUCCACUUUGACAAGUUACGAGCAACUUAGUGAUCAGUAAAAAAAUUAACAAUUGCGCGAAUUAUGUGAAAUGAUGUGACUUGGUUGGUUGGUUGGUUGGUUUAAGUGGUGAUUCUUCCAGAAUCCAACUAGCGCUUUCGCACCAUUUUGUUGUCACAUCCUCGUUACCAACUUGUUUACCAGCGAUUUUCAGCAUGACUAUAUCCAAUGUGUGCGAUUCAGGAACCUUAUCAGGCUGUUGACAUCUAAGCCAGACAGCUGUUCCAGACUCUCGAACAGCGGUUUACCCAGGGUUAACCUUCUGUCCUUCCAUAGGGCAGGGCAUUCACAGAGGAAAUGGAAGAUUGUUUCCUUUUUCUCCGGUUGUUUGCAACUGUGACAGUAUGUGUUGUGAGGGAUGCCCAUUUUGGCUGUUUGUUCUUCCACAGCCCAAAAGCCAGUUAUGACUGCCGUUAGCCUCCAGGCGUCCCGUCGUUUCAUGUUUAUUAGGGCGGGUCCAUUAAAAAUUCGCUCAUUGCUCUGUGAAAAUCGUAUUCCAGGGAUCAAAAUAAGAAACUUUGCCGAAGGAACCAUACCUCUAAAACGAAUUCUGAUGUCCCCCAAUUUGGGUCGAACGAAAAAUCCCACUUUGACCCAUUUAGAGUGCUCCAAUCGAGUCCAAAUGUAUGAUCGACCCCCACUAACUUUGGACGGCCGAUCCACCCAUGCCAGUGGCACACCCUCUGGAACUCCCCUGGGGGGUUCCACAUACAAUCAUUUCAAAAUAUCACCAUUUUUGGCCUUUACAUGAGAAAAGAAACUAAAAAGUUCGACCCAAAUUGGGGGGCAUCAGAAUUCGUUUUAGAGGUAUGGUUCCUUCGGCAAAGUUUCUUAUUUUGAUCCCUAGAGUAUGAUUUUCAGAGAGCAAUGGGCGAUUUUUUUUUGACUCCCCACAAAUCGACCCGGCCUAAUGUUUAUCAAUGUUGAUGAUUGCUUAAGGUUGUAGAUUGACCAUAACGUUCUGCCAAUUUUGCAUUUCUUCUGAUCUCUCCAUCUA